rnacentral:rRNA from 1 species
GGAAUCUUGCGCAAUGGGCGAAAGCCUGACGCAGCAACGCCGCGUGCGGGAUGAAGGCCUUCGGGUUGUAAACCGCUUUUACCAGGAAGGAAAAUGACAGUACCUGGAGAAUAAGGUGCGGCCAACUACGUGCCAGCAGCCGCGGUGACACGUAGGCACCAAGCGUUGUCCGGAUUUAUUGGGCGUAAAGAGCUCGUAGGCGGUUCAGUAAGUCGGGUGUGAAAACUCUGGGCUCAACUCAGAGACGCCACCCGAUACUGCUGUGACUUGAGUCCGGUAGGGGAGUGGGGAAUUCCUGGUGUAGCGGUGAAAUGCGCAGAUAUCAGGAGGAACACCAAUGGCGAAGGCACCACUCUGGGCCGAGACUGACGCUGAGGAGCGAAAGCGUGGGUAGCAAACAGGAUUAGAUACCCUGGUAGUCCACGCCGUAAACGGUGGGCACUAGGUGUGGGUUCCAACCAACGGAAUCCGCGCCGGCGCUAACGCAUUAAGUGCCCCGCCUGGGGAGUACGGCCGCAAGGUUAAAACUCAAAGGAAUUGACGG